GCCAGUGAUUGGGUGAUAGCCUAGUGGUGGUACGCCUUCCAAACCAGAAGGUCGUGAGCAAGACGUUUUUGGUUCCUGGCACACCGGGGGCCCAGGAGUAGUGAUACUCCGGUCUUCCCAACAGAAGGCGAUGCCACGGAAGGAAACAGUUCAACACUGCCUGGCCUCCCUCCUCAGCCUGCACUGGGUACUCUGGAGAAAGAUGGGACCAGACAGGAUAAAGUCCUCGAGUAAAACCCUGAUACUGCGGUCACACUGCAGACAGGCCUCGGCUGCAGGGACACAGCAGAGCAAGGACACCAGCAUCAACAGCAUCUGCCCUCUGCACCCUGAGAGUCACUUUUCCGUCAGUGCAGGUUCUGAAACAGAGUUGCCAAUAUUAUUAUUGCUGUUACAAAUAUCAACAUAACCGUUACUGCAACCCUUAUCACCACUCCUACACCUUAAUCCCAUCACUCCUGUUUCUACUUUAUCAUCAGGCCAUAUUUUCCAUUGCCUAAUAACCUAUUAAAAAGCUUUACAGCAUAGUUGAUUGGUUGUGGUAAUUUCAUUUAACACAAAUCUUUGUUGUAUG